UAGGCUUGAAAUCCCACGAAGACGGUAGAGAUACUGUUGUGCCCUUUGGGGAACGUGGUGACAGGUGCUGCAUGGCUGUCGUCAGCUCGUGUCGUGAGAUGUUGGGUUAAGUCUCGCAACGAGCGCAACCCCUAUUUUUAGUUGCCAGCAUUAAGUUGGGCACUCUAGAGAGACUGCCUGGGCUAACCAGGAGGAAGGUGGGGAUGACGUCAAGUCCUCAUGGCCCUUAUGCCUAGGGCUACACACGUAAUACAAUGGUGGAUACAAAGGGAAGCGAACUCGCAAGGGGGAGCAAAUCUCAAAAAGUCCAUCUCAGUCCGGAUUGGAGUCUGCAACUCGACUCCAUGAAGUUGGAAUCGCUAGUAAUCGCGGAUCAGCACGCCGCGGUGAAUACGUUACCGGGCCU
rnacentral:rRNA from 1 species